rnacentral:rRNA from 1 species
UACGGGGGGGGCAAGCGUUGUUCGGAAUUACUGGGCGUAAAGAGCUUGUAGGCGGUUUGUCGCGUCUGCUGUGAAAAUCCGGGGCUCAACCCCGGACUUGCAGUGGGUACGGGCAGACUAGAGUGUGGUAGGGGAGAUCGGAAUUCCUGGUGUAGCGGUGAAAUGCGCAGAUAUCAGGAGGAACACCGAUGGCGAAGGCAGGUCUCUGGGCCACUACUGACGCUGAGAAGCGAAAGCAUGGGGAGCGAACAGG